CAGAAUCUGGAGUCAGUGUAAAACGCGAUGGUACGACGUUAGGUGAAAUUGUCCUAAAGGGUUGCUGUGUUAUGUUAGGGUACCUUAAAGACCCCGAGGGAACAUUAAAAUGUAUGAAAGAUGAUGGUUGGUUUUACACGGGGGAUGUUGCGGUUAUGCACCCUGAUGGGUACUUGGAAAUUAAGGACAGGUCAAAGGAUGUGAUUAUAAGUGGUGGUGAGAAUUUGAGCAGUGUCGAAGUAGAGUCAGUGUUGUACGCACAUCCAGCAAUUAAUGAGGCAGCGGUUGUGGCACGAC
rnacentral:lncRNA from 1 species